GGGGUCGACUGGUUUUGACAACAGGAAUGACUAUGACAGUUUGCAAGUCGAGCGAUAGAAAAUAGCUCGUAAAUCAUAUUUUCUAACCAUUAACUGGCGAAAAUAAUUACGCUCUAGCUGCCUAGACUCAAGUUAGUUUAAAGCAUUACUCGAACGAAUCGAGAAGUUAGAUGUCUUAGAGAGUAGCCUUGGUUGGCGGCGAUUCUCCAAAGGCACCAAAAAAAGUCAGCAUAGAACAGAGAGGUGCACUUUCUGUUCGAAAGUUUUUGCACUAAGGAAAUUAGUUGGAGGUUUCUUGCCAAUGAUUUCUCAAAAAUUAAAUAGAAACUAAGCUUGUAGAAAACCGAUGAUCACUUGUUUGGACGCGGGUUCGAUUCCCGCCGACUCCACUU
rnacentral:tmRNA from 1 species